rnacentral:RNase_P_RNA from 1 species
CCAGUCGGCCGGGCGGCCGCUCCUGCAUUCUUCGGGAUGCAGGAGAGGAAAGUCCGGGCUCCGCGGAAAUACGGUGCCGGAGAAAAUCCGGCGAGGGAAACCUCAGGGAAAGUGCCACAGAAAGGAAACCGCCCCGCCUGCCAAUCGGCCGCGCGAUAUGCCGGGCCUAUUUGCCGGCGGGGUAAGGGUGAAAGGGUGGGGUAAGAGCCCACCGCGCGGCCGGCAACGGUCGCGGCAUGGCAAACCCCACCGGGAGCAAGACCGAAUAGAGGCGGCGCGAAGGGCAACCUUCAGGCUUUUCCGGCCGAGCCGCCCGGGUUGGUCGCAUGAGGCGGAUGGCAACAUCCGUCCCAGAUGAAUGGCCGCCACGUUUCGUCUGCCGCAAGGCGGGCGGGGCCAUACAGAACCCGGCUUACAGGCCGGCUGGCACU